rnacentral:rRNA from 1 species
CCCCUAGAUGUUCUGGGCCGCACGCGCGCUACACUGAACAGUUCAACAAGUCUUAACCUUGGCCGAUAGGUCUGGGUAAUCUUUGAACGCUGUUCGUGAUUGGGAUAGACCUUUGCAAUUAUGGGUCUUCAACGAGGAAUUCCUAGUAAACGCAAGUCAUCAGCUUGCAUUGAUUACGUCCCUGCCCUUUGUACACACCGCCCGUCGCACCUACCGAUUGAAUGGUCCGGUGAAGCCUCCGGAUUGGCGCGCACCUCGGUGCCGCCGAGAAGUUGGCUAAACCUUACCAUUUAGAGGAAGGUGAAGUCGUANCA